rnacentral:misc_RNA from 1 species
GUGAUGCAUCGUCUUAUUGGACGUUAAGAGAAAACUACACAAAUUACACCCCAGGGCAAAUGCACACCUCCUAAAAGCUGAGGCAAAAAGAAAUUGGGGUAAAAGAACACCAUAAACACAAAUUACAAAGCUGCAGUGUUAUUGAUGUUUUCCAAGGAUAUAACAGCACCAGAUCUGCUCUCACUUGAGGCUUGUGAAUGUGUAAAAAGAAUGUAAAUGACCCAAAAGUGUAGGCAUACAAGGUAAAGCAGGGACCAUAAUUUUGCUGUUGGAUUUCUCCUUACAAACACUGCACCGGCCACGAAAAUCGCAUCCAACUGCUGAAGCAGUGAUCCCAAAUGUUCACUUCCUGAUCGAAUUUUGUCCUCCAAUAGAGGUCUUAACUUUGAAUUAGGGAUCUCCCAUGUCCCUGAUUCCACAUCCCUUGGAAUUGACCUAUUUUCGUCAAGCAACCUUGAAACUGCCUCUAUUCUGAAUAAAAGGGUUGCCUUCUCUGAGGAGAGUGCCUCAACCUGGGCUUGUUUCUGAAUUAAAUGAUCAGUCAACUGAGCAAGCCUUCUCUUAAGCUCAAUUUCUACUUCUGUUGGAUCCUCUAUAUCCUUCCUUGUCAUUUCAACAUUUGCUUCCAGCUUCUUUGCCUUAUCUUCCAGUUUCCCAAUUUUAUCGGUUAAAAAGGAGUACUCUGCUUCAAGUAUAUCCCUUUCAAAUUCAAUUCCUUUGGAAGCUGCUGCUUGGUUUAGAUAUGUCCCAGUUUGGUGAGUCUUGGAGACCAUACUACUGAGGAGUUCUUCAUGAGCCACUUCUUUCAACUCAACCUGUUGUCGAAGUUCUGCAACCCGAUUAAUCUCCAUCUCAAGAUUCUUCUGUGCAGUAGCAAGGGAUCUUGCAAGAUCAGCAUUUGCAGUCUCCAGUUUAGCCAAGCGAGCUAGGGCUUCCAUUCUCGUAUUAUUAUGUUUCCGCUUUUCCAAAUCAACAGCCUCCAUUGUUUCCAUCAUGGUUGUCUGAAGCUCUGAAGCCUCCUGUGCUUGCUGUUUUGCUCGUUCUUCCAAUAUUUUCUCCAAGCUUUGUUUCUCUCCUUCUAAUCUGGCAACCAUAUUCUCCUGCUCUUUGAUGAUCUCCACAGCUUUAGCUGCUGCUUUCUCAGCCAAAAUCUUCUCUCUCAUCUCCCUCUCUUGUUCAUUGUCAGAAUCAGAUGUUGCCACUGAAUCACUGUCUGAAUCGGACCCUGCAUCACUUGUUGAAGAACCUUUCUUCAAAUCAUCUGAGACAGAACUUCUAGAUGCACUACCAGAUCUAUUCUUCCCCUUUACAGUACUUCUCAGUCUAUCAUAAACAUUGCUCACUCCCUUCUUCACAUCAGAUGCCGUACCAAGACUCUCCGAUACCGAUGACAUUUCCAAAGAAUGACCCUUUCCCCCUCGUAAAAUAUUCUCUUCAGAUAUAUCCUUAGAUUCAGAAAGCCCCCCAUUUCUCUCAUAUCCCUUAUUGCUCUGUUUUUCCUUGAGAUUAACAGCAAUGUCCUUGUGAUCCACUUCUUCCCUAUCCAAAUUCUUCGCGUCACUCUGCAAUUCAACACUGGAAGACCUUGCAGAAGAUGUAGACUCUUCCUCAUCACUCGGUUUCCCAUUUAACCUAUUUCCCAAUGCAACAUCCAAUCUCUUCUUAGACUUAACUCCUCCACUACUCUUCAGAUUCAUCUUCCCCUCUAGCACUGACAAAUUUGAACCAGAACCCCCCUGCCUCCGACCUCCAUCCUUCCUCAACNNNNNNNGAAUCGCAGAUACCCCAUUACUGCGAUUCGAAGGAAAUGAAGGAGAAGCCUGAGUUGGAGUACUAAGAAGCUCAGUCCAGUCACUAUCAGUAAGAGUAGGCCUAGUUUUUGCAGAAGGUUUUGGGGCAUUUGCAAUCUCCUUAUCUUCUCCAUUGCUAUUACUACUAACAUUACUAACAUCACUGACAUUGUUAACGUUAGGAUCAGUACUCAAUUUUCCAAAAUAUUCA